UACGGAGGGUGCAAGCGUUGCUCGGAAUUAUUGGGCGUAAAGGGUAGGUAGGUGGUCUCAUUUGUCUGGGGUGAAAGCCUUGAGCUUAACUCAAGAAGUGCCCCAGAAACGGUGAGACUAGAGUCCUGGAGAGGGUCGUGGAAUUCCCGGUGUAGCGGUGAAAUGCGUAGAGAUCGGGAGGAACACCAGAGGCGAAGGCAGCUCGCUGGAACGGUACUGACGCUGAGGCGCGAAAGCGUGGGGAGCAAACAGG
rnacentral:rRNA from 1 species